rnacentral:rRNA from 1 species
UACGAAGGGUGCAAACGUUGCUCGGAAUUAUUGGGCGUAAAGCGCACGUAGGCGGCUUAGCAAGUCGGAUGUGAAUCCCUCGGCUCAACCAAGGAAGUGCAUCCGAAACUGCUGAGCUUGAGUACUUAAGAGGAUCGCGGAAUUCCCGGUGUAGAGGUGAAAUUCGUAGAUAUCGGGAGGAACACCAGUGGCGAAGGCGGCGAUCUGGGAAGAUACUGACGCUGAGGUGCGAAAGCGUGGGGAGCAAACAGG